CCUACGCCCUGCUCCCAGGUGUGCGGGCAGCAGGAAGCCCAGUCCGCAGCACCUCAGCGCAUCUCCGGCCCGGCCGCCGGUCCCGCAGCGGGCAGAGCCGGCUCCACCUCCACCGCAGCCCCGCCUGCUUCGAAAAGUGUACCAGCAAGGAGAAGCAAAAGGCUGGAGCAGCCAUUCUUCUGGCAAGAGCUGAAAAGAUCAAGAAAGACUCCUGAUAUUAUCUUGAAAAAGGAUGUAGGCUACUGGCUGAGCUCAGCAGUAAUGAGAGUAUUUGAGUUUUAGAACCUUGGAGCAUUUGCUGACUGGAUUUCAUACAUUCUGAAGUCUCCAGCCAUCCAGUAAAUUCAAGUUUUUUGUUCAAACAGCUUGAAAAUGUGUGCAAGGCUAGGCUGUCAGCAUGGAGCCCUGAUACCUGAUGUUUUCCCUAUGAGUGCCUCUAGGGCCAAGCUAUUGUGGUGAAUCACAAGCCUGAAGCCAGCCAGAAUUAUUUCUGUCAGUCUGGAGUUCACUGCAGUUUGUUUGAGCUGAAAUCUGAGGACUUCAGUAAGGCUGGAGCAAAGAUAAUUCUAGGAUGCAACUUUGUGUUCCUGCCACUCAAACUGUGCCAAAAUACAGAAUGUAAUUGAGAAAUAAUGUAUUAUUGCUCUCGUUAGAAAAUAAGGAAAUCCAAAAGGAAAUUCCACUUCUUAUAAAAUAACAAGCUGAUAGCAUGCAUCUAUCCUUUUGACCCUGUGGAGCAUAAGGCAAGUGAAAAGUCAUUGGGCUGCCCUGGAAGCUGGGUUAUGGAUUCUGGCCAAAACCAUGGAAGCUGUAAUUGGGGCCUGCAUAAGAGAACAAACCUCUGCCCAGUGCCAGUUAUAAGUGCAAAGAAAGGCCUUUUUGUUUGGGUUUGCCUUUGAUGUGUGUUGAGACGAAGCAUGCAAACCACACUGCUGGGUUAACUGACCUCUCUACGAAUGCCUGCAGCUAUGAUUUUCCACUCAGUGAAGAUUUUUGUCCCAAAGGAAUGAAGAGUAGGCAGAUGCUCAGAGAACAAGUGAUAUGGAUCUGGGAAGAUACUAAGACUUGCAGCUCAUGACAAACUAAAAUCUUGUGCAAACAGCAUUAUUUAGCUGUGUUCUGAUGGGAUUUCUGAGUACUCAAAGAAUUCUUGGUGGUUCAAAAAGAGAUCUUUAACUUUUCCUAAUAUACCUCAUUUUCUGUCAGCUAUGCAGAGGCAAUGGGAAACAUUUGUCAAAACAGAUGACAGGUUUAGCCCCCCGCCACUGAAUACAAAUGGGAAAUUCAAGGUUCAGUUAAUGGCUGCUGAGCCAAGAAGCAUUUGGAAACUCAGCUAACAUUGAAUAGGCCCCAAAGAAUACGCUGUGACAAUUUCAGGACGCUGUGGCUAUGGCCAAACUCAGAAUGCUGUGAACAGUUGUUUCACAGUUUGUGCUUCCAGCCAGAAAAAGAGCUGCUGAGGUGCACAAAAACUGAGAUGUAGCAGCUAACAUGACUUUCAGGAUAUUUAAGAAGACAUGUAUGACAGCUGCUUCAGCCCAGCAGACUAUUUCUUUGCCCACUGCUUCCUGGUAUUUUACUGCCACUCAGUUGAUUUUCUUACACUAAAAUAAAUAUUAUCUGAAAAGCAAUCAUGUGCAUAAAAUAUGCAUAGAGAUUAUAUGUGAAAAUCUCUGUUUUUUCUAUUAAAUCAUGUUGGCAUGUGUCAUGGGUUGGCACUGGCCAGAUGUUAAUGCACCCAUGAAUAUAUGUUUUUUCUCUAACAGCUACUGUGGGAUGUGAUCAGGAACAGAGCAGAGCAGGCUUAAAUCUUGAAAACAAAAAAAACACUAAAACUUUAUUACAUUACAUAAGAACAGGGACAGAAAUACUUUUAAACACACACAGAGACAGAAAUAAAAACUUCUUAGAACAUUUCUUCUCUCAGUUUCUACUUCCCCACACAUCACUCUUUACAGACUAAACUUUUGGGUUUUAGAUUAAAUAAUUACUACUCAAAAACAAACUAAUCUUCAAUUCAGCAAGGGAGAGAGGAGUCUCUCUCGCACCAUAGACUGUUCUCUAGGAAACACGGGUCUACCCCUUAUGUGUUCCCAUGUCACCUAUGGCACUGCCCGGAGAAGUCUGCCAGGGUGACACUCUCUUUUUCUUAUGUCUAGCGCUCUCACUGCUAUCUAUAGUCUAAGGCUGCAUACAGGGCUUUUUAAGGAUACUUGCAUGCCGAGCUCUCCCCUUUUUACCCAGGGGCCGGGGUUCCAGGAGCAGGUCUCCCCUGAGGGCAGAGGGCGCCACCUCACCCUCCCCCUCUUUUCUCUGCUCGCUCCACUCUUCAAGUGCCAGUCACUGUAGCAAAAGCAGGGGCAGCUGUAUCUACCCAAAAAUGCAGUUUAUGUUCAAAAGAGACUCAAGUUCAGUCCAUGGCUGACAUUAUGCAAGAAAAGUCCAGCUCAGAAGGCUACUCCUCUCAUUCUUUGCCCAUCAGGUUCCUUCUAAUCGUGCUUUAUCACCUCAGUCUCAGGCCGCUUCCUUCUCCUUUUUUUCUGAAAUCACUAGUCAUGAGAAUCAAUGUCUAAGAAAAGUUUCUUUCUGCCAAGCAAGAAUUAACAGCUUCUAUCUCCCAGCAGGGUGCAGGCUCAGGCACUCCCAGGCUCGGCAACCCCCACGUGGCUGGGCAACUUCUCCCGGAGUUUGGGGGUGGAGGGGGGUGAGCACACACAGAAGGCACUUCCACAGUUUUCCACCCCUCCAUCCUGGACGGGGCAGCUCAGUUCCAGUCCUGUCCCUUCUCUUCUCCCCCUGGGGCUCCGGCUUACCUGAGCCCGACCACGUGUUUUCCCCUCCCCCACCCGGCCUCGUGGCUGGGCAGGGGAAGGAGGCCUGAGACGUCUCUCUGCUGAAACCGGGAUCCAAAAAAAGAGACCGAACCUCCUAGACUCCUGCUUUUAACUCUUUGUGUCCUCAGAAGCGUGUCCAAACCUCCGAGUGACCAAUCCAGGUGCCAGCAGAAAAGCUGAUUACUAAUUGGCCUGCUUACCUCUCUCUGGAAAAAUUCACCUCCCCCAGCAACCACGACAGCAUGUUACACUGAAGAGGGAAGAGGUCGGAUGUAAUCUGUUAAUGGAACAACUGAUAACACCAGAUAAGGCAGUGCCUUCUUAUCUCUUUCUCCACCCAUCCUCCUCCAAGAGAUAUCACCUAUGAAUGGACCAUUUAAGGCCUCUCACAUGACUGAUAACCUUCAUUCCAUUGGGAGAUGCUCCACCCAGUGGGAGGAGCCAAAGCCUUUCCACUACAAUAAAACCAGCAGUCCUAAACACCAAAAGAGCCUGUUUCCACUGGAUUCACAGAGGACAACUGGACCCUUUCUUGAGGAUCAUCUCUACUCCAAUGGAGCCACAUCUGUCACUCCAGGAGGACUUAUUUCGGACUGCUUCCAACACCCUGACCAACAGGGUAUCAGAAUUUCAUGAACCUAUAGGAUGGAUGUCAUAAGUGAAAGCCAAGUUGCUGUUAACUGUAUCUUAUGAGAGAUUCAAAGUCGGUGUGGAUAGAUCUUCAGGCCAAUGGAGUUACAGAUAAAUGAUACUGCAGAGGAAGUUACAGACUUGGGAUAAACUAUGCACUUUGAGAGCAUCAUCUUAGUGGGAACAUGUUUAACCUGCCAAAAGCUCUUCUGAACUCUGACUGCAAACCCUUCCGAAGUCCAAAUUUCUCAUGCAAAUACUGUAUGACCCCAGGUUAUCUAUCAACACAGUUUCAUCUCUCCCCUUGCAUAAUAUGAUGAGAGAGCAACCAGGAGCCAGGCAGAGGUUUUGGACAAUGGACAGACCAUCAUAACACCUUUGCAGCAUCAAAUGGCUUUAGCUCAGGGAAAAAUACCUGGCCCUUGGAAAGACCUCUUGGCAGUGACAAAUGUUUAUUUAAUUUAAGACAGAAGCUGCUUCCUGUCCAUAACAAGUCUUCAGAGGGAAUCCUAUAAAGACCUGCUUGAUUUAUUGAAAUGACAGAUUUUACAUGGAAACAAAGCACUCUAAGUUUUCUUUGAGGUGCUUCAAUGAAAGUUCUAAGGCAUGAGGAUCUUCUGAAAACAUGGCCCUAAGUCACUACAGUUCUGAAGAAAGGUUCACUCAGUUGGGUGGACACAGACAUCGCUCACUCUGAGGAUCCAUGGAAACAUGGACUCCAACAGUCAGUCUUCCUCUGAGAAUCUAGUGGAAAAGAAGAUGCUCUGCUGUUGGGAAUCUCAGGUUUUAUCCAGGUGUCAAACCAGAAAUGGCCUCAUUUAAAGUGUUGUAAAGGUUUGCAGCACCACCGAGGUGAGCAGCGAAAUCCUGGCACCACCGAACCUUGCAGUAAGGCUGGAACUCCCAGCUGGAGAGAGGGCAUUGCGGUCAGUGUAAAUGAAAACUAUUUUAGAGUGUGAAGACGCACUCUGUCCUGCACGGCGAAGUGGAAGGAGCCCACCUGAAACACAAACCCAACAGCAUCCAACUGAGUGUGAGGCUCUGGCACCACCUGCGGGUGACGACGCUGUCCCAGCCCGGGCUCCCAUGCC